rnacentral:rRNA from 1 species
CAGCCCCUCGAGUGGUGGGGAUGAUUAUUUGGCCUAAAGCGUCCGUAGCCGGCCGAGUAAGUCCCCCGUUAAAUCCAGCGUCUCAAGCGUUGGACUGCGGGAGAUACUACUUGGCUAGAGAGUGGGAGAGGUCAGCGGUAUUCUGGGGGUAGGGGCGAAAUCCUUUGAUCCCCGGAGGACCACCAGUGGCGAAGGCUGCUGACUAGAACACGUCUGACGGACAGGGACGAAAGCUGGGGUAGCGAACCGGAUUAGAGACCCGAGUAGUCC